AGAAGGAAGAAUGUCACAGCUGAAGGCUUUCAUUCUGGCUUUGGUUUAUUUAUAUGGCUCCGCACAAGUACUGAAAGAAACUCAAGUGUCUAUCACCAAGGCAGAAAGUAAAACCAUACGAAUUGAAUGCCAUGCAACCGUAUCUGAUUUUAGCAAUGCUUAUAUCCAUUGGUAUCGACAGAGACCUGGUGCACCUCCAGAGCGAAUUCUGUACUUUUCAUCACAACUCCACCUUGACAGUGACUCUGAUAAGGAAAGGUUUAAUGCAGAAAAGAAAAUUGACAAGUCCCUCUGUAUCCUGACAAUAAGAAGAAUAACCUCCAGUGAUGCUGCUACUUAUUAUUGUGCCACUUGGACAGGCACAGCAUCAGAAAGCUAUUAA